UACGUAGGGGUCUAGCGUUGUCCGGAAUUAUUGGGCGUAAAAGAGCUCGUAGGCGGUUCGGCAAGUCGGAUGUGAAAUCUCCACGCUUAACGUGGAGGGGCCAUUCGAAACUGCCGUGACUCGAGUCCGGUAGGGGAGUUCGGAAUUCCCGGUGUAGCGGUGAAAUGACACAGAUAUCAGGAGGAACACCGGUGGCGAAGGCGGUGCUCUGGGCCAGUACUGACGCU
rnacentral:rRNA from 1 species